rnacentral:pre_miRNA from 1 species
GUAUACAUGGCAUGCUAUGUGUAACUGUUUUGUUAUUUUAUCAGUCACACCAAAUUUUAAUAUUAGAAAUGGAUGGGACUUUUAAUAGAAAUAACCAGUUUACUCUUUAAUCCAAUGUAUAGAGACUAAUUUAUUUAUUUUUUGAGUAAACGAGGUAAAAUGAAAUUUGGCUCCUAAUACAAGGACUUCCAUGCAUGCUUUUUUUUUUUUUUUACCUUCAAUAAUGACAAUUUAAUAUUCCUUAAGAAAAGUUUGGUAAAAAUAUCAUGAAGGUCUUUGCAAUAGAUGUCAAAUUGCAUUUUGCCCCUUCUACUAAAAAAUGAGUAAAUUUGUCCCUGUACAUUAGAUUAAAUAGUAAAAUGGUCUUUUAUGUUAAAAGUUUCAUCCAAUUCUACUAUUAAAAAUUGGCAUGGCUGUUAGAAUAACUAAAUAGUGACACGUGGCAUGGCAUGUGUA